rnacentral:rRNA from 1 species
GACGAACGCUGGCGGCGUGCCUAAUACAUGCAAGUCGAGCGCAGGAAGUCAUCCGAACCCUUCGGGGGGACGUUGACGGAAUGAGCGGCGGACGGGUGAGUAACACGUAAAGAACCUGCCCUCAGGUCUGGGAUAACCACGAGAAAUCGGGGCUAAUACCGGAUGGGUCAUCGGACCGCAUGGUCCGAGGAUGAAAGGCGCUCCGGCGUCGCCUGGGGAUGGCUUUGCGGUGCAUUAGCUAGUUGGUGGGGUAAUGGCCCACCAAGGCGACGAUGCAUAGCCGACCUGAGAGGGUGAUCGGCCACACUGGGACUGAGACACGGCUCAGACUCCUACGGGAGGCAGCAGUAGGGAAUCUUCCACAAUGGACGAAAGUCUGAUGGAGCAACGCCGCGUGAACGAUGAAGGCCCUCGGGUCGUAAAGUUCUGUUGUAAGGGAAGAACAAGUGCCGCAGGCAAUGGCGGCACCUUGACGGUACCUUGCGAGAAAGCCACGGCUAACUACGUG